GGAGGAAAGCAGGGGAUCGCAAGACCUUACGCUUUUGGAGCGGCCGAUGUCUGAUUAGCUUGUUGGUGAGGUAAAGGCUUACCAAGGCUUCGAUCAGUAGCUGGUCUGAGAGGACGACCAGCCACACUGGGACUGAGACACGGCCCAGACUCCUACGGGAGGCAGCAGUGGGGAAUUUUGGACAAUGGGGGAAACCCUGAUCCAGCCAUGCCGCGUGAGUGAAGAAGGCCUUCGGGUUGUAAAGCUCUUUCAGCCGGAACGAAACGGUUACGAUUAAUACCUGUAACUACUGACGGUACCGGAAGAAGAAGCACCGGCUAACUACGUGCCAGCAGCCGCGGUAAUACGUAGGGUGCAAGCGUUAAUCGGAAUUACUGGGCGUAAAGCGUGCGCAGGUGGUUUUGUAAGUCAGAUGUGAAAUCCCCGGGCUUAACCUGGGAAUUGCGUUUGAAACUACAAGGCUAGA
rnacentral:rRNA from 1 species